UACGUAGGGCGCAAGCGUUAUCCGGAAUUAUUGGGCGUAAAGAGCUUGUAGGCGGUUCGUCGCGUCUGGUGUGAAAGCCCAUCGCUUAACGGUGGGUCUGCGCCGGGUACGGGCGGGCUAGAGUGCAGUAGGGGAGACUGGAAUUCCCGGUGUAACGGUGGAAUGUGUAGAUAUCGGGAAGAACACCAAUGGCGAAGGCAGGUCUCUGGGCUGUUACUGACGCUGAGAAGCGAAAGCGUGGGGAGCGAACAGG
rnacentral:rRNA from 3 species